rnacentral:rRNA from 1 species
AUGAAGCCGGAAUUGCUAGUAAUGGCAGGUCAGCAUACUGCCGUGAAUACGUUCCCGGGCCUUGUACACACCGCCCGUCACACCAUGAGAGUUGGGAAUACCCGAAGCCUGUGAGCUAACUAAUAGAGGCAGCAGUCGAAGGUAGAAUCAAUGAUUGGGGUGAAGUCGUAACAAGGUACC